GCUUAAAGGGAGAGAAGUAUUUUCUCUCCCUUUUGUAAUUAAUCGACUUUAAUAGAAACGAAG
rnacentral:sRNA from 1 species